rnacentral:rRNA from 1 species
UACGUAGGGUCCGAGCGUUGUCCGGAAUUAUUGGGCGUAAAGGGCUCGUAGGCGGUUUGUCGCGUCGGGAGUGAAAACACGGGGCUUAACCCCGUGCCUGCUUCCGAUACGGGCAGACUAGAGGUAUGCAGGGGAGAACGGAAUUCCUGGUGUAGCGGUGAAAUGCGCAGAUAUCAGGAGGAACACCGGUGGCGAAGGCGGUUCUCUGGGCAUUGCCUGACGCUGAGGAGCGAAAGUGUGGGGAGCGAACAGG